rnacentral:misc_RNA from 1 species
AACGCACAUUGCGCCCGCUAGCAUUCUAGCAGGCAUGCCUGUCCGAGCGUCAUUUCACCGCUCAGGUUUUGACCUGGUGUUGGGGUUUCUGCGCUGUAGGCGCAGGCUCUGAAAUCCGUCGGCAGGCCUCUCGGAGUCUUUCAGCGUAGUGAUUUGCUCGCUCGGGUGCUCCGGCGGGGCUUGGCCCUUCUAUAACAACCAAGGCUUGACCUCGGAUCAGGCAGGACUACCCGCUGAACUUAA